GAUGAACGCUGGCGGCGUGCCUAAUACAUGCAAGUAGAACGCUGAAGGAGGAGCUUGCUCUUCUGGAUGAGUUGCGAACGGGUGAGUAACGCGUAGGUAACCUGCCUGGUAGCGGGGGAUAACUAUUGGAAACGAUAGCUAAUACCGCAUGACAACAGUUAUUGCAUGAUAACUGUUUAAAAGGGGCAACUGCUCCACUACCAGAUGGACCUGCGUUGUAUUAGCUAGUUGGUGAGGUAACGGCUCACCAAGGCGACGAUACAUAGCCGACCUGAGAGGGUGAGCGGCCACACUGGGACUGAGACACGGCCCAGACUCCUACGGGAGGCAGCAGUAGGGAAUCUUCGGCAAUAGACGGAAGUCUGACCGAGCAACGCCGCGUGAGUGAAGAAGGUUUUCGGAUCGUAAAGCUCUGUUGUAAGAGAAGAACGAGUGUGAGAGUGGAAAGUUCACACUGUGACGGUAUCUUACCAGAAAGGGACGGCUAACUACGUG
rnacentral:rRNA from 1 species